rnacentral:rRNA from 1 species
GUGGGGAAUAUUGCGCAAUGGGGGCAACCCUGACGCAGCAACGCCGCGUGAGUGAAGAAGGUUUUAGGAUUGUAAAGCUCUGUCUUCGGGGACGAAAAGAUGACGGUACCCGAGGAGGAAGCCCCGGCUAACUACGUGCCAGCAGCCGCGGUAAUACGUAGGGGGCAAGCGUUGUCCGGAAUCACUGGGCGUAAAGGGCACGCAGGCGGUAAGAUAAGUCAGAUGUGAAAGUUUUCAGCUUAACUGAGAAAGUGCAUUUGAAACUAUCCUACUUGAGUCUCGGAGAGGUAAGCGGAAUUCCUAGUGUAGCGGUGAAAUGCGUAGAGAUUAGGAGGAACACCGGUGGCGAAGGCGGCUUACUGGACGAGUACUGACGCUCAUGUGCGAAAGCGUGGGGAGCAAACAGGA